ACAAACCGGAGGAAGGUGGGGAUGACGUCAAAUCAUCAUGCCCCUUAUGACCUGGGCUACACACGUGCUACAAUGGACAGAACAAAGGGCAGCGAAACCGCGAGGUUAAGCCAAUCCCACAAAUCUGUUCUCAGUUCGGAUCGCAGUCUGCAACUCGACUGCGUGAAGCUGGAAUCGCUAGUAAUCGCGGAUCAGCAUGCCGCGGUGAAUACGUUCCCGGGCCUU
rnacentral:rRNA from 1 species